rnacentral:sRNA from 1 species
UUGAAAAUCCUGGAGAACAAAGUCCUCCGUGUGUCCCUAGAACAGGCAGAGGCAAAGUUAGUGAAAAUUUCCCCAUAGUGCCCUACCAAUAUGCUUCAACCUUGACACAGAGGGACACCCUCUGAAGGGUGAGAGGGUGAUUAAGUCUCUAUUUACAGUCAGACUUGGCUGUCU